ensembl:snoRNA SNORD36 Small nucleolar RNA SNORD36
CGGCAAUGAUGAAUACAUUUCUUCAACUGAACAACCAUGUGGCUUUAUGAGCUUUUUAACCCUGAGCCCA